rnacentral:tRNA from 1 species
GGGGACGUGGCGCAAUUGGUAGCGCACCUGCUUUGCAAGCAGGGGGUUGCCGGUUCGAGUCCGGUCGUCUCCACCC